ACAACAAACUUUUGAAAAAAAUUGGUGUCUGAUGAUUAUUCAUCUUUUAUAUACUAGGUUAUGUGAAAUAUCCGUCACUGUCAAUCAAAAAUAUUGGUUUGUCAACUUGUUCUUGAAAGUUAUUUCGAAAAGUGUUAGAUAAUGCCUAAAAAAAGAUAUAAUAGGUAUAAUGGACAAUCGCAGCUGAUGAUUUUAAAUAUAUUGGCUUUUUUUCAACUGGAAAAGGAACAAGUCCGAAACGGAAUUGCACUUCAAAUUGAGAAUGUGAUACAGCGAGCCGCAGAUGCAACAAAAUUGAGCACAACAACGAUCGCAAAUAUAAAGAAGAAUGGGAUAAAAUCAGAUCAGGAUUACGCAGCCCGUAUAUCUUCCAAGCAAAAGACAGCAAAAACCAAACCUACAACAUAUUUGAAACCUAGAAUUCGGGACACAAUUUAUUCUAUGUACGCCAGAAAAGAAUAUGUAAUAUUGGCAACAAUAAGAGAAAAGUUCAGGGAAGAAAUUGAUUAUAUUGAAUUUUCUUUUUUUAGAAGAAAUUUUCCAUUGACUCCUUAAGAAGAUGGAUCAAUAGUAUAGGCUUCAAGUGGAAAAAAUCAAAUAACAGAAAAUAUUUGAUGGACUUGCCAAAUAUUCUUCAUAAAAGAAUCAAUUUUUUAAGGGAGUAUAUCAAAAAUAGAAAUGUAGGUCUGGAAGGUUUUACUCCAGUUUUCAUUGACGAGACGUGGAUUUUUAGCAAGGGAUUAUUUCGUAGUAGCUGGCAAGAAUGCACCAAGCACACGGAUUUAAGGAAAAACAGUGAAGGUCAUCGUUAUAUCGUGGUCCACGCGGGAAUCAAAGAUGGCUUCAUCAAGGGUGCAAAUUUAAUAUUCAAGAGUGGAUUAAAGACGGGAGAUUAUCAUGACAAAAUGAACAGGAAAAACUUCGAAAACUGGUUUAAAACUCAGCUGGUUCCAAAUCUUCCCCCAAAGUCAUUUAUAAUCAUGGACUGCAAUCAUGGAAUGCAAGUUACCAUUCUGGUUUAUUAGAAGAAAUCCCGAGAAAAUCUUGGACGAAGCAGAGAUUGACCGAAUGGUUGAAGAAAAAGAAUAUUGGCUUUCCAGAAAAAGCCAUGAAAGAUAAAAUAUGGAGUAUUGCACGCAGAAACUGCCCUAGUGAAAAAAAGUACUUCCUUGAUGAAUAUGUUAAACCUUUAGGCCACAAAAUUUUGCGACUGCCACCAUAUCAUUGCCAGUUUAAUGCAAUUGAAAUGGUAUGGUCAGAAUGUAAACGAAAAUAUGAUCAAUAUAUUUCCAAUUUUAAGGGUCACCUUCAGAAGUUCUGACUACAUGGAAAAGGGUAAUAAACGAAAUUUCUAUAGAUGUGUGAUGUCUAUGACAUUCUGCCACUUGUGAUUACGACUGACGAAGGCGACGAUGACGAAGACAAUAUCUCUGAUUUCAGUUCUGACUCUGACAAUACUGACGAGAUUAAUUAAGCUUUUUUUGUUCUAGCAAAUUUUAUUUUAUGAUCGUCGUUUAAAUAUUCAAUCAUAUCGUUGCAAUUUCAUUAACUUGGUAAUGCAAUAUGGCGUGUUUUUUUUUAGUUUUUAUGUUUUAUUUUUUGAAAUGGUAUUUUCAUUUUAAUGUGUUAACAUAUUCCUUUAAUAAUAAUUUUAUAAUUUUAUACCAUUAUUCACAAUUUUUGUAAGCUCGGUUUUGUUACGUCUACUGCUCGUGCCGAAUUCUACUUUUCAAAUAUGUUGUAGAUUUGGUUUUUGCAGUCUUUUGCUUGGAAAAUAUAUGAGCAGCGUAAUCCUGAUCUGAUUUUAUCCCAAUUCCGUUUCGGACUUGUUGUUUAUGUCCCAUUAUUUAUGAUUAAUUAUAAUAAUAUUUGUUAAUUGUUAAGUUUGUUAAUAAUACAAUAAAUACUACAAGAUUUUUUUAAAUUUUUUGGGAAUGAAAGUAUAUACACGAAUAUAAAAAUAUAAUAAUAUGCUGCUAAAAUAAAUCAUUUGUUAAUUUCUGAACGUAUAAAAAUACAUAGCAGACUAUUAAUUUCUGAAGGCGAUGGUAAAGUUUCUAACCUAAUAUUAAUUGGCAAAAAUACCUACGCCAUACGUUUUUCCUCACCUGGAUAACGUAACUACAAAUGGGUAUAAUUUCGACUUUAUAACCGAUGGAAUUAGGAAAUAUGACCGAGAAAAACAACGUAGAAAGAAAAUUUUAAAUCUUUAAGAAGUUCUGACUGUUCUGUAUUGACUGAUUGACUGAAUUUGAUAUGAGUUUGAAAUUGACUAAUGAAAUUGAAAUUGACUAAUAACAGUAAAACUAACUUACUUUUAAUUAGGUUUAAAUGACCUUUCGUUUAGAAGAGAAAAAAUUAAAGUAACGUAAAAGAAUGGCCUCUGUCGAAUAUUGAGAUAUUUCUUAACAUUAAGUUAAUAAAGGGUACACCACAGUUCCAAAUAGCAGGAAGAAAUUUUAAAAUGCUUGAAUUAAAAUGGGAAAUGGAUCCAAAGACCUGCAACACUUGAACCUAAAACUAUCCAAAGAUGCCAAAUAUGUCCUUAUAGCUUAGAAGAUAUAGAAACUGACCCCAAACACCAAGAAGAAACUUAAAAUUUCUUCGAAUUCCCGGAAUAUAUAAAAAAUUGCUUUAAAUGUCCAAAGUAUCCCAAUAGCUGUGAGGAUAUAAAAGAAUACCAACAAGAAAUGUAAAAUGUCUUCAAAUGAUACAUAAAAAAUUACGAAAAUAUUUAUUUAAAGGUCGAAUAAUAUCACAACUAUCCUAUUAACUAAAAGAAUAGCCUUAACCGAAAUAAAAUGAAAAAUUACUCAAAAUGUCCAAGGAUUCCAGAAAUAUCCUAAUAGUGCAGAAGAUACAAAGAAAUGAAAAUACCGAGAAGUUACUUCAAAUUAUUUCAAAUUCCUGAAAUAAAAAAUUUGGAUCUCUUUCAGGACAGGCAACUUACAUUAUUAACAUUUUAAAUGGGAAUUUAAAGUAUGAUAUUUAGUUGAAUUAAACUUCGAAAAGUG